UGAACUAUUGGAGUAGCCUCCU
rnacentral:miRNA from 1 species